UCCGCUCCCUGCGCUGGAGGGCUGGA
rnacentral:piRNA from 1 species